GCUGGGGGUGGCGGGUGCCUGUAGUCCCAGCUACUCAGGAGGCUGAGGUGGGAGGAUGGCUUGAGCCCAGGAGUUCUGGACUGUAGUGCGCUAUGCCAGCUUGGUGUUCACACUAAGUUCGGCAUCAAUAUGGUGACCUCCCGGGAGUAGGGGACCACCAGGUUGCCUAAGGAGGGGGUGAACCAGCCCAGGUCGGAAAUGGAGCAGGUCAAAACUCCCGUGGUGAUCAGUAGUGGGAUCACGCCUGUGAAUAACCACUGCACUCCAGCCUGGGCAACAUAGCGAGACCCCGUCUCU
rnacentral:SRP_RNA from 1 species